rnacentral:ncRNA from 1 species
UAAAAAACGCAAAGAAAGACGAGUAAGUUAUUUCAAACUUGCAGUGAGUCGGGGAUAGUGGAAAACCGAUAAGAUCUUGAAAUAUCUGAAAAACACUUUCUAGUUUCUGUCUGAACCAGUCAGCAAUGACUCAAGUAGGAGCAGACGUAAAACCGGAACGUUACCCUCGGUGGAGCAUGUUAGUGCUCUUAUUGAGGUGGCCUAUUUUUUCUGUAGGCAACUUGGGUGGUACCGCGAAAGUCUUUCGUCCCUUGA